rnacentral:rRNA from 1 species
UACAGAGGUCCCAAGCGUUGUUCGGAUUCAUUGGGCGUAAAGGGUGCGUAGGUGGCGCCGUAAGUCGGGUGUGAAAUUUCGGAGCUUAACUCCGAAACUGCAUUCGAUACUGCCGUGCUUGAGGACUGGAGAGGAGACUGGAAUUUACGGUGUAGCAGUGAAAUGCGUAGAGAUCGUAAGGAAGACCAGUGGCGAAGGCGGGUCUCUGGACAGUUCCUGACACUGAGGCACGAAGGCCAGGGGAGCAAACGGG